AAAACGCACCCACCAUCACGCUACAACAAUUAGUAAUACAUCUGGACAUUCCCAAUCACUUUGUCCCAGUGCAGUACCGUUCUAUUGAUUUAGUAUGGGGAUAUACAUUUCAUCUUACAAAGUCGCUUCUUCAAACUAGCUUAGUGAUCAAAAAAAAAAAAAAAAAUUGGUGCUAGAUUUUAGAACCCAACAUAAGAUGAACCAUAGUUUUAUAAUCAAAGCUUGACAUCUGGUUCAGCAUUUCCAGACAGAUUCCGGAUGAUGUCAUCCACAUGUCCUCUCAACUCUAAAAAAAGUUAUCUCCAGGGAGUUGGAAGGGCAAAACUCUGCUCAAAAAACCAGCACAUCUACUGUAUUAUUUUCCGGUCGAGGCAAUUGUAUGCGCGUACGAAAACCGCCCGCUUCAACGAACCCGGCAACUUGUGCGACCUCGACCUCCCUCUCCCAAAUCCCAA
rnacentral:sRNA from 1 species